GCGCACGCUGGCGGCAUGCCUAACACAUGCAAGUCGCACGGGGGGGCUUCGGCCUCCCAGUGGCGGACGGGUGAGGAACGCGUAGGGACCUGUCGAGGGGUGGGGGAUAACCGCGGGAAACUGCGGCUAAUACCGCAUGACGCCGCGGCGUGACAGCCGGGGCCAAAGGCGAAAGCCGCCCGCCGAGGGGCCUGCGUCCGAUUAGCUGGUUGGCGGGGUAGCGGCCCACCAAGGCGUCGAUCGGUAGCUGGUCUGAGAGGGUGAUCAGCCACACCGGGACUGAGACACGGCCCGGACUCCUACGGGAGGCAGCAGUGGGGAAUAUUGGACAAUGGGCGCAAGCCUGAUCCAGCAAUGCCGCGUGGGUGAAGAAGGUCUUCGGAUUGUAAAGCCCUUUCGGCGGGGACGAUGGUGACGGUACCCGCAGAAGAAGCCCCGGCUAACUUCGUG
rnacentral:rRNA from 1 species